UACGUAGGGGGCAAGCGUUGUCCGGAUUUAUUGGGCGUAAAGAGCGUGUAGGCGGCCAGGUAGGUCUGCUGUGAAAACUCGAGGCUUAACCUCGAGCUGUCGGCGGAAACCCUCUGGCUAGAGUCCGGAAGAGGAGAAUGGAAUUCCCGGUGUAGCGGUGAAAUGCGCAGAUAUCGGGAAGAACACCCGUGGCGAAGGCGGUUCUCUGGGACGGUACUGACGCUGAGACGCGAAAGCGUGGGGAGCGAACAGG
rnacentral:rRNA from 1 species